rnacentral:rRNA from 1 species
UACGUAGGGUGCGAGCGUUGUCCGGAAUUAUUGGGCGUAAAGAGCUCGUAGGCGGUUUGUCGCGUCGACUGUGAAAACCCGAGGCUUAACCUCGGGCCUGCAGUCGAUACGGGCAGACUAGAGUUCGGUAGGGGAGACUGGAAUUCCUGGUGUAGCGGUGAAAUGCGCAGAUAUCAGGAAGAACACCCGUGGCGAAGGCGGCUCUCUGGGACGGUACUGACGCUGAGACGCGAAAGCGUGGGGAGCGAACAGG